rnacentral:rRNA from 1 species
UACAGAGGGGGCAAGCGUUGUUCGGAAUUACUGGGCGUAAAGGGCGCGUAGGCGGCCUUCUAAGUCGAACGUGAAAUCCCUGGGCUCAACCCAGGAACUGCGUCCGAUACUGGAAGGCUUGAAUCCGGGAGAGGGAUGCUGAAUUCCACGUGUAGCAGUGAAAUGCGUAGAGAUGUGGAGGAACACCGAUGGCGAAGGCAGCCCCCUGGGUCAAGACUGACGCUCAUGCACGAAAGCGUGGGGAGCAAACAGG